rnacentral:snoRNA from 1 species
CAGUUGAUUAAUAGUAAUGGUCAGUCUUUUGAAGAUCAAUUGACAAUCGACUUUCCAAUUGCUGAAACAA